ensembl:snRNA U2 U2 spliceosomal RNA
UUCACUUCUCUGCCUUUUGGCUAAGAUCAAGUGAAGUAUUUGCUCUUAUUAUUUUAAUACCUGAUAUGUCCUCUAUAUGAAGACUAUAUAUUAAAUAGACAAACUGGCUCGUGUGAACAUUU